rnacentral:rRNA from 1 species
GACAGAGGAUGCAAGCGUUAUCCGGAAUGAUUGGGCGUAAAGCGUCUGUAGGUGGCUUUUAAGUCCGCCGUCAAAUCCCAGGCUCAACCCUGGACAGGCGGUGGAAACUACCAAGCUGGAGUACGGUAGGGCAGAGGGAAUUUCCGGUGGAGCGGUGAAAGUGCGUGAGAGAUCGGAAAGAACACCAAUGGCGAAAGCACUCUGCUGGCCGACACUGACACUGGAGAGACGAAAGCUAGGGGAGCGAAUGGG